UACGGGGGGGGCAAGCGUUGUUCGGAAUUACUGGGCGUAAAGGGCGCGUAGGCGGCAUAUUAAGUCAGCUGUGAAAUCUCCGAGCUUAACUCGGAACUGUCAGCUGAUACUGAUGUGCUAGAGUGCAGAAGGGGCAAUCGGAAUUCUUGGUGUAGCGGUGAAAUGCGUAGAUAUCAAGAGGAACACCUGAGGUGAAGACGGGUUGCUGGGCUGACACUGACGCUGAUAGCGCGAAAGCCAGGGGAGCAAACGGG
rnacentral:rRNA from 1 species